AAUAGAUACCCAGGUAGUCCACGCCGUAAACGAUGGAUACUAGCUGUUCGUCCGCCUCGGCGGAUGAGUGGCUAAGCGAAAGUGAUAAGUAUCCCACCUGGGGAGUACGAACGCAAGUUUGAAACUCAAAGGAAUUGACGGGGGCCCGCACAAGCGGUGGAGCAUGUGGUUUAAUUCGAUGAUACGCGAGGAACCUUACCAAGGCUUAAAUGUAGAUUGACAGGACAGGAAACAGUUUUUUCUUCGGACAAUUUACAAGGUGCUGCAUGGUUGUCGUCAGCUCGUGCCGUGAGGUGUCAGGUUAAGUCCUAUAACGAGCGCAACCCCUGUUGUUAGUUGCCGGCGAGUCAAGUCGGGAACUCUAACAAGACUGCCAGUGUAAACUGUGAGGAAGGUGGGGAUGACGUCAAAUCAUCACGGCCCUUACGCCUUGGGCUACACACGUGCUACAAUGGCCGGUACAGAGAGCAGCCACCGCGCGAGCAGGAGCGAAUCUAUAAAACCGGUCACAGUUCGGAUCGGAGUCUGCAACUCGAC
rnacentral:rRNA from 1 species